rnacentral:tRNA from 1 species
AGGGGUGUAGCUCAGUUGGUAGAGCACUCGUCUCCAAAACGAGCGGUCGGAGGUUCGACCCCUCCCGCCCCUG